GGCUGUUGCCCCAUGCUGCAGUUCCAUAGCUAAGAGUUCUGCCUUCUAUUUUUCCACCAUGACAGCCUGGGUUUGGUGCCUAAAUCAAGCCCUUUCUGUUUGGAUACUUGGCACUUCUGAAACAGCAGCAAUUUGUCCGAGCUGAAAUAUGAGCCAAGGAAAUUUUUUUGAGCUAUUGACAUCUUUUAACAAGUUACUAUACUCCUAUGAACAAAAUUUGGAACAUAUUUGUUUCUCUCUACCUGAUUUCUCCAGAAUUUGGAAACUACUUGAAUCAAACUGGACUUAUAGAGCAAAUAAAAAUCCCUUGGGAAAACUGGCCUCAUACCUUGUCUACACAGUUCCUGUACAGGGUUCCUGACCAGUGGAAUCUGAAGCCACCUUAAGGCAAAGGAAUGACUUCCAUGGAAUACAGAUGAAGUUGGUAAAAGGAAAUACAAAGGAGAAAAAGUACAUUUGUUCUGUUCUAUGACUAUUACUCUGAUACACUGGUAAUGCUAUGAUGAUGGAAGGAACAAAUAAAUGUCUCAGGAUCUUGAUCUUCUGAUAAUAGAGAGGGAAGUUAACAGUUCCUGUAUUUACAGGAACUGUAAUAGAGAGGGAAGUUCCUGUAUUUACAGGAAGAAUUUUAGCAGGGUAAACUUCAAAACCAGUAAAGGCUUGCGUGUUGCUACCAUAAAAAAGAACAAGAAAGCCAACCACAAAAAUUAAACACUAAAUUGAGCAAAGAAAGAAAAGGCAAUAUUACUACUGAAGUAUUAGAGAGCACUCACUACUUCCCUAUUUUACCUGCAUGUAUAACCUAUGACGUUACUCAUUUAUUUCUCUGUAUGUCAUUUGAGAAGUGACUUAUGGAGAGAGAAUAGAUAAAAUAGCAUUCCUUAAUUAAAUAUGGUAGGAUGCAACGUAUACAUGACUAAUUUGGGAUAAUAUUUCUUGUGUGUGUGUGUGUGUGUGUGUGUGUGUGUGUUUGAUAGAGUCUCGCACUGUCGCCCAGGCUGGAGUGCAG
rnacentral:lncRNA from 1 species